GGAGAAGCAAAGUGAUGAGCUUUGCUGGCUGGAGUCCCAAAGAGGCACACGUGUGUGUGUGUGUGUGUGUGUCUGUCUGUCUGUCUGUCUGUCUGUCCGUGCACAUGUGUGUCUGGAGUAUGAGUGUGUGCAUUAGUGAUAGGGACUAAUUGUGUGCCCUCUGUUGGACGAUGACAGUCAAACUGAUAAGAUCUGAUUGCUUC